rnacentral:rRNA from 1 species
CAGCAGCCACGGUAAAACGAGGGGGGCAAGCGUUGUUCGGAAUUAUUGGGCGUAAAGGGCUCGCAGGCGGUUUCUUAAGUCUGAUGUGAAAGCCCCCGGCUCAACCGGGGAGGGUCAUUGGAAACUGGGAAACUUGAGUGCAGAAGAGGAGAGUGGAAUUCCACGUGUAGCGGUGAAAUGCGUAAAGAUGUGGAGGAACACCAGUGGCGAAGGCGACUCUCUGGUCUGUAACUGACGCUGAGGAGCGAAAGCGUGGGGAGCGAACAGGAUUAGAUACCCCCGUAGUCCCUGUCUCUUAUAC